rnacentral:tRNA from 1 species
UCUGUGGUGGUCCAGCGGUUAGGACUUUGCACUUUCUCUGCAGGGGGCAUGGGUUCGAUCCCUGGUCAAAGAA